UACGUAGGUGGCAAGCGUUGUCCGGAUUUACUGGGCGUAAAGGAUGCGUAGGCGGAUGUUUAAGUGAGAUGUGAAAUACCCGAGCUCAACUUGGGUGCUGCAUUUCAAACUGGAUAUCUAGAGUGCAGGAGAGGAAAGCGGAAUUCCUAGUGUAGCGGUGAAAUGCGUAGAGAUUAGGAAGAACACCAGUGGCGAAGGCGGCUUUCUGGACUGUAACUGACGCUGAGGCAUGAAAAGCGUGGGGAGCAACAGGG
rnacentral:rRNA from 1 species